rnacentral:rRNA from 1 species
UGGGGAAUAUUGGACAAUGGGCGAAAGCCUGAUCCAGCCAUGCCGCGUGUGUGAAGAAGGCCUUUUGGUUGUAAAGCACUUUAAGCGAGGAGGAGGCUACUUAGAUUAAUACUCUAGGAUAGUGGACGUUACUCGCGGAAUAAGCACCGGCUAACUCUGUGCCAGCAGCCGCGGUAAUACAGAGGGUGCGAGCGUUAAUCGGAUUUACUGGGCGUAAAGCGUGCGUAGGCGGCUUUUUAAGUCGGAUGUGAAAUCCCUGAGCUUAACUUAGGAAUUGCAUUCGAUACUGGGAAGCUAGAGUAUGGGAGAGGAUGGUAGAAUUCCAGGUGUAGCGGUGAAAUGCGUAGAGAUCUGGAGGAAUACCGAUGGCGAAGGCAGCCAUCUGGCCUAAUACUGACGCUGAGGUACGAAAGCAUGGGGAGCAAACAGG